rnacentral:rRNA from 1 species
UACGUAGGGGGCAAGCGUUGUCCGGAAUCAUUGGGCGUAAAGAGCGCGUAGGCGGCCCGAUAAGUCCGCUGUGAAAGUCAAGGGCUUAACCCUUGAAUGCCGGUGGAAACUGUCGGGCUAGAGUCCGGAAGAGGCGAGUGGAAUUCCUGGUGUAGCGGUGAAAUGACGCAGAUAUCAGGAGGAACACCGAUGGCGAAGGCAGCUCGCUGGGACGGUACUGACGCUGAGGUGCGAAAGCGUGGGGAGCAAACAGG